UACGUAGGGGGCUAGCGUUGUCCGGAAUCAUUGGGCGUAAAGAGCGUGUAGGCGGCCCGGUAAGUCCGCUGUAAAAGUCAAAGGCUCAACCUUUGAAUGUCAGUGGAUACUGCCGGGCUAGAGUCCGGAAGAGGCGAGUGGAACUCCUGGUGUAGCGGUGGAAUGCGCAGAUAUCAGGAGGAACACCGACGGCGAAGGCAGCACUCUGGGCCGGUACUGACGCUGAGGAGCGAAAGCGUGGGGAGCAAACAGG
rnacentral:rRNA from 1 species